ensembl:lncRNA
CCCAAUCUAAAAUUAUGCCCCAAAUGUUCACAGUCAUGUUGGCACAAGAGUUCUUAUUGGGUUUUGAUUGGGUUAGGCCUAAUCUGAGAAGUGUGUGUACAGAGGGUACAGCCAGCUGAGCUGUCCUAUUGACCUGAUAUCCAGUCUCUGCUUCCCCAGAUGAGAGAAGAGAGAGAGAGAGAGAGAGAGAGAGAGACUGCUAAUGUUCAUCAUGAGGAGGAUAAAACCUGUCUAGAAAAGGUCAUGCUCAGUUAGAACACAGUGGAUUUGGUUACCAGAAAAAACAGGUGUAAUAUGACAUCUGAGAGUUCCAUGUUAAACCCCGACUAGCCCGUGUCACUCUGUAGUGUCUGGAGUGACCUUGCUCAUUGUCACCCUGAUACCGGUCCGGCUGCUGCCCGCUGCUAGUGCUAAUGAAACAGAGCUGAACACUGAGAGAGCAAUGUGUGAGCGCAACCGGUGCUGUUAGCUUAUCUCUCAUCAUAGGGUUCAUAUGUGAGGAAUACAACACAAGCGUACGAGCUGUUCUAGUUUAUAAUCAACGACGGCGUGGUGUGACAUGAGUUACUGUUGCAACUAAAGAGUUGAUCAUUGUCGUGUAGCAGCAAAGCGCUUUAUUCUUCUUAUACUACACAACAAUUUCCCAAUGCAGAUGGAUGUUAAAGAAAGAAUGACACAUUGUACUUAAUGUUAUGGAACAUCCAUAAAAAACUGAGCUCCUAUUACUCAUGUAAUCGCAGCUAUAAAACAUCCCUCACAGAAUAACUAAUAUUUCUGUUUUCCCCCCAUGAGGAAGUGCAUUCAAAUAAUUACAUGAACAAAUGAAUUAAUGGGUCAAAGAGUGAAUAACUGAAAGAAAGAACGAGUAGAAAAAAGGAAGUCUGUUUCCAUGGAGAUCCACACUGCGUUUGUGUAGGCUUUUGGGUCAUUUCAGUUGGAACCCCACACUUACUGCCUCACUCUCUCCAUCAGAAACGGGCUGAGACUCGGAGCGAUGGUGGAUUGCCGAAUAAACCCAGCUCCUGUCUUCUGGGGGCUGCGGUUACACCACCAACACAACAGCAGGGGGCGUCACAGAGCAUCACUAUGCCUCUGAUUUCCCUGGCGAGUUUGUGGACUCUGAAGCAGGAGCUGAGCAAAAACAGAGGUAUGAGAACAUUCAGAAGUUCAGCGAGGAGGCCAGGUGGUUGGAGCAGUCAGAGGCACUGCAGCAGGCCAGGAGGAAAUAUGUGAGUCGACUCCCCUGACCUCACAGCUUCCUGCUUCCUGUAGACUGCAGGAAGUGGGGACUAAUUGCUGAGCAAGCCUCCCUGUUGCCGCCUGAAAAAAUAGAGUCAGAUAGAGUCCCUGAGUGAGAACUAUAAACAGGUUAUGUAAUAGAGAUAUGUGUAGUUAUACAAUGUAAACUGUAGCAAAGAGGAUCUUAGGACAGUGUUUCAUUAACAUAUAAACACUAAUAUCAUUUGAAGUUUGCAGCCGACAUCAAACUGCUCCUGUUGUUUUUAACCAAAGUUUUGGGGUGUAAAUGAUUAUAAUUUCACUAUUUCCUAACUUAUUUAGCUCAGUGGUAUGUUAUUUUAGUUCCACUAUAUUUUUUUUAGUGUGUGAGUUUUUUGGGGUUUUUUUAAAGUUAUUAUUUUUUAAAUUUUUUUUUUUUAGAAAAGUAAUGAAUCACAAACAGUGAGGACUUCCGAGGUGUUGAAGGAUCCUUAUCAGAAACAGUAAAAGAAGUGUGGUACAGUGAACUUCCUUUUUGAACAUGCAUAUGUGAUAAUUGUAUGCUGCAUGACUGAAUGCAAAACAGUGUGCUUUCUAUUAAGAAAUGCUACUAAAGGAGAAGUGCUGACCUGAAUUUCCUGUGAUAUCUUUCCACUUCCUGAUAUCAUUAAAGCUGUAGUUCAGAAGAAAGACUUUAAAAUGUGUAAUAGCUGUUAUCAUAAUUUUAUAGUAUAUGAUUGUGAGUGAAUUUGUGUCAUUGGAUUAGAU